rnacentral:lncRNA from 1 species
GGUGCCAAGUUCCACACGGGGUCUCAUGGAUCGGCAGGAGAUGUCAGUGAAAGAAGGGGCGCAGAAUGAUCACUAACCCAUGACUCCCAACAGUAUGACAGGUACCUGGUUUCUUUUUUCUUUGUGAUCCCUCUUUUCUGUUCCACCCAGAGAGACAUACAGGCUUCCUGAAAGGCCAGCCUGAGUCUUAGCAACAGUUAUGUCCAAGUCAACGAAUGUUAUUAAAUGCAAAUAUAUCCAGUGAAAGCCUAGUUUUUCUCCUUCUCAAGGUCAUCCUCUCACACCCGAUACGUUUCCUCUCACAUUAUAUAAGAAGUGGCUCUAUGUA